GACGAACGCUGGCGGCGUGCCUAAUACAUGCAAGUCGAACGAGAGCGCCCGGUGCUUGCACUGGUCAGUCUAGUGGCGAACGGGUGAGUAACACGUGGGUAACCUGCCCAUCAGAGGGGGAUAACAUCCGGAAACGGAUGCUAAAACCGCAUAGGUCUUCGAGCCGCAUGGCUUGAAGAGGAAAAGAGGCGCAAGCUUCUGCUGAUGGAUGGACCCGCGGUGCAUUAGCUAGUUGGUGAGGUAACGGCUCACCAAGGCCGUGAUGCAUAGCCGACCUGAGAGGGUGAUCGGCCACAUUGGGACUGAGACACGGCCCAAACUCCUACGGGAGGCAGCAGUAGGGAAUCUUCCGCAAUGGACGCAAGUCUGACGGAGCAACGCCGCGUGAGUGAAGAAGGUUUUCGGAUCGUAAAACUCUGUUGUUAGAGAAGAACAAGUGCUAGAGUAACUGUUAGCGCCUUGACGGUAUCUAACCAGAAAGCCACGGCCAACUACGUG
rnacentral:rRNA from 1 species